rnacentral:rRNA from 1 species
GACGAACGCUGGCGGCGUGCCUAAUACAUGCAAGUAGAACGCUGACUACUUUAGCUUGCUAGAGUAGAAGGAGUUGCGAACGGGUGAGUAACGCGUAGGUAACCUGCCUACUAGCGGGGGAUAACUAUUGGAAACGAUAGCUAAUACCGCAUAAGCACACGUGAUCGCAUGAUCGAGUGUGAAAAACUCCGGUGGUAUGAGAUGGACCCGCGUCUGAUUAGCUGGUUGGUGGGGUAAUGGCCCACCAAGGCGACGAUCAGUAGCCGGCCUGAGAGGGUGAACGGCCACAUUGGGACUGAGACACGGCCCAA